rnacentral:rRNA from 1 species
ACACAUGCAAGUCGAGGGGCAGCAUUUUAGUUUGCUUGCAAACUAAAGAUGGCGACCGGCGCACGGGUGAGUAACACGUAUCCAACCUGCCGAUAACUCGGGGAUAGCCUUUCGAAAGAAAGAUUAAUAUCCGAUAGUAUAUUAAAACCGCAUGGUUUUACUAUUAAAGAAUUUCGGUUAUCGAUGGGGAUGCGUUCCAUUAGUUUGUUGGCGGGGUAACGGCCCACCAAGACUACGAUGGAUAGGGGUUCUGAGAGGAAGGUCCCCCACAUUGGAACUGAGACACGGUCCAAACUCCUACGGGAGGCAGCAGUGAGGAAUAUUGGUCAAUGGACGAGAGUCUGAACCAGCCAAGUAGCGUGAAGGAUGACUGCCCUAUGGGUUGUAAACUUCUUUUAUAUGGGAAUAAAGUAUUCCACGUGUGGAAUUUUGUAUGUACCAUAUGAAUAAGGAUCGGCUAACUCCGUGCCAGCAGCCGCGGUAAUACGGAGGAUCCGAGCGUUAUCCGGAUUUAUUGGGUUUAAAGGGAGCGUAGGUGGAUUGUUAAGUCAGUUGUGAAAGUUUGCGGCUCAACCGUAAAAUUGCAGUUGAAACUGGCAGUCUUGAGUACAGUAGAGGUGGGCGGAAUUCGUGGUGUAGCGGUGAAAUGCUUAGAUAUCACGAAGAACUCCGAUUGCGAAGGCAGCUCACUAGACUGCAACUGACACUGAUGCUCGAAAGUGUGGGUAUCAAACAGGAUUAGAUACCCUGGUAGUCCACACAGUAAACGAUGAAUACUCGCUGUUUGCGAUAUACAGUAAGCGGCCAAGCGAAAGCAUUAAGUAUUCCACCUGGGGAGUACGCCGGCA